rnacentral:rRNA from 1 species
GGGCCCGCACAAGCGGUGGAGUAUGUGGUUUAAUUCGAAGAUACGCGCAGAACCUUACCAACACUUGACAUGUUCGUCGCGACUCUAAGAGAUUAGAGUUUUCGGUUCGGCCGGACGAAACACAGGUGCUGCAUGGCUGUCGUCAGCUCGUGUCGUGAGAUGUUGGGUUAAGUCCCGCAACGAGCGCAACCCUCACUUUUAGUUGCCAUCAUUAAGUUGGGCACUCUGAAAGAACUGCCAGUGAUAAGCUGGAGGAAGGUGGGGAUGACGUCAAGUCCUCAUGGCCCCUUACGUGUUGGGCUACACACGUGCUACAAUGGUAUCUCAACAGGAAGCAAGACUGCGAAGUUAAG